rnacentral:rRNA from 1 species
CCCUACGGGGGGCAGCAGUGGGGAAUAUUGCACAAUGGGGGGAACCCUGAUGCAGCGACGCCGCGUGGGUGAGGAAGUACUUCGGUAUGUAAAGCCCUAUCAGCAGGGAAGAAAAUGACGGUACCUGAAAAAGAAGCUCCGGCUAAAUACGUGCCAGCAGCCGCGGUAAUACGUAGGGAGCGAGCGUUGUCCGGAAUUACUGGGUGUAAAGGGAGCGUAGGCGGGCUUGUAAGUUGAAUGUCUAAUCCACCGGCUCAACCGGUGAUCGCGUUCAAAACUGCAGGUCUUGAGUGAAGUAGAGGCAG